rnacentral:sRNA from 1 species
UCAGCCGGCAUCGAAUCACCGCGGUUCCCAGAGGGUGUGAGGGGCUGGCGUGGACACACCGGGAAUGGACCGUACCCUUUUUCAAAAGGAACUCAUGAUGUAUACAAAUAGAAUGCUCUUCCCCUUCUUUGCUGGCCAAUUCCUACUCAUCUGUUAAAACCAAGCUUAGAGAUUACCUCUUUGAUGACAUCUCUACCAAGUCUGAUUGAGAACAUCUCUGUGAGCACAUAGUAUUCUAACAUCUCUAUCAUCAUACCAUGAAAUCAUCAGGUAAUGUAAACUCCUUCAGGGAAGGUAGGUAUUCCUGAUGUCUAGCUAUAGACCCACUCCAUGUCUGUUACAUGCUUGUUGAACAAAUGAAUGCCUUUCCACAGUCCCAUUUUUCCCACAUGAUAGAAGAUGUUUUUUGUUUUGUUUUGUUUUUGUUUGUUUGUUUUUUUGAGACAGAGUCACUCUGUGGCGCAGGCUGUAGUGCAGUGGCAUGAUCUCGGCUCACUGCAACCU